rnacentral:sRNA from 1 species
AUAGUUCAGUUCCUCAUAGUUCAGGCUGGAGCAAGUAAGAUUCCAGUUUUACCACUGAAUCUCUGAGGCUGUCUCCUCAUCUGUAAAAACAGCAAUCCUAGCCCAGAGAGUUGUCAAAGUCACUGUGCUAUCGGGCCUGGUGGAAUGGGAGUGAGAGGGGCUCAGAGGGACUGUUACAAGACAUGAGGUGACGAUGGUGGGGUGGCGAGGCAGAAGCUGAUGGAGACUCACUGAGAAGUGGAGAAGCAAGACUCAUCACAGAUGGGGCAUAAAGGGAGAUGGAGGGGCAGGGGGUAGUCCUGGUCUCGGCCCAGGGGGAAGGGUUUCAAUGAGAGGAAGCCAGGGUGUGAAGUGAUGGGGGAGGAUCACGAGGUCAGGAGUUCAAGACCAGCCUGGCCAACAUAGUGAAACCCCGUCUCUACUAAAAUAAAUAAAUAAAUAAAUACAAAAAAUACAUAUAGCAAGACCCCACCUCUAAAAAAAAAAAAAAAAAAGGCUGGGC